CAUGCAUCUUUACUAAGAUUGGUAUAGGAAAUAUAAUUUUAACCAUACAUUAUCAUGAUAGGACCCCAUAUGAAUAAGUCUAAUUUUUAGCAAACGUAGCUUACAAUUUAUUUCAUACAAUUAUGCACGCUGCGUAUUUGGCAUCCUAGGUGACAGGUGCUGUGCGAUACCACCUCUAAUGGAUUGGACCGGUUGAUCACUCUAAAAUUGGUGGGCUACUGUAUCGCUGGAGAAAAUCGUGUCGGAGCUCCGCACAGCUAGGCUACUAUUGUCAAACGGCCAAUGAGGUAAAAGCGGGGCGGAGAACAGUCGACGAUUGUACUACGGGCAGUUGCCUACUGCAAACAGCUGUGGAAGCGUCUGCUUUUAACACGCGUUUCGUUGAUCUGGUCAAUGGAUUACACAGUUUCCCUACAAGUGCAACAUCAACUGGCUGUCUUCCCGACACACUUGUACCAGGGUUACAGUUUGGAGUUACAGCUCCAUCAUAAAUCGUGUCCGCUGCGCUGCGUGGGAUUUCAGCAUCCUUUUUGACUUUAUGAGCCACGAGAAACAGUGAAAUCCUCUCCUCCAUCUAGGCUACGUGAUGUUGAAUUAAUGACACGGUGUUUGGAAAUACCGGGUAGCCUGAUGCGGAGGUCCUCAAGGCUGAAAUGCGCGCUUAAAUUGCGAAUCUCACCGAGGCUUCAUAAACACUCCAUGUGAUUUGAUGCAGACUUAUUUGAGUUUGAAAAUAAAAUCAACGGGUCAUACUGUUCAGGAUGAUCAUUUUGCGUCUCGCUGUGCUUAGAAAGUGGAAUGGCAUCAGAGGCCAAACAAUUCCUCAUAUUUUAUUAGGCUAUCCAUCCCAUGGCUAUUUUACACACACACACUGACCUUUUUACAUCGUUAUUUGUUUUGCCACGUGAUAUGUGUCAUUUAUGGGAUUCCAAUAGUACAACCAGUUGGAGCGAGUUGAACUCACCUGUCAUUCUACUACUGUAAUAUCGGCUAUCUAGUAUUAGAUCCAUUGACCAUAUCGUGUGUUUGGUUUUAAAUUUGACCACUGUUCAGCACAAUGCAUGGGAUUUCGGAAGUUGGCAUGUCUGUACCUUGACUAUUCAAGUGUAUCCAGUCAUUGGAUUGUGACUACAUUCAUUGAGGAUUCGUUCCCAUGCAUCUUCCAAUGACAUUCUCUUCAUGAUCUUCUGCACUAAUAUUAGCCCAAGUGUGAAAACAUAGGUGAACAUCCCCAUGAUACUAUUUUCGUUUCGUCAAAAAAUGACAGCUCACCAAAUCCUGAAUGUAAUUGACCUAAUGUAGCUAGCUAUCUAUCUUCCACAUGACUGGCAACCAUGCUUAUGGAUAUAUGCGGCUCUCUGCCUCUGACUGUGGCAUUCACCUCCAAACCUAGUUCCUUUUGUUAUGUUUUCUUGAACAGGUAUUUCCUUUAUUGAACAAUCGUGACUCCCCCCCCCCCCCCC
rnacentral:lncRNA from 13 species